GGAGAGAUGGCUCAGUGGUUAAGAGCACUGACUGCUGUUCUAGAGGUCCUGAGUUCAAUUCCCAGCAACUACA
rfam:Mus musculus chromosome 11, GRC primary reference assembly.